UACGAAGGGGGCGAGCGUUGUUCGGAAUUACUGGGCGUAAAGGGCGCGCAGGCGGCCUUAGAAGUCAGAUGUGAAAGCCCCGGGCUCAACCUGGGAAUGGCAUUUGAUACUCUGAGGCUGGAGUACGGGAGAGGAGAGUGGAAUUCCCAGUGUAGAGGUGAAAUUCGUAGAUAUUGGGAAGAACACCGGUGGCGAAGGCGGCGACCUGGUCCUUGACUGACGCUGAGGCGCGAAAGCCAGGGGAGCGAACGGG
rnacentral:rRNA from 1 species